rnacentral:lncRNA from 7 species
CGUAACGCAGAGGAGCGGCUGAGCGGUGCGGCGUGCGGUUAAGGCGAGAGCGGAGUUGGCCGCGCAGCGCCCAACACGAGUAGAAAACCGAGGCCGUCGGGCUCAUGCGGAUCCAUGAGGGAGGACUUCUGUUUCACAAGGUUUCACCGCCUCUCGCAUUUUUGUGCUCAGCCAGGGCUGCAUCCAAGCAAGGGCUGCCCGGAUUUUAAACACGGGAGGCUGCAGCGUGGAUCUGGAUGUGCGGACCUCCUCACAGUGAGCGUUCCCGUUGGCGUGUGGGUGCACAAGAAAGGGGAAACCCUGCUCCUCACAGCUGGGGAGAGCACACAGCCAGCAGUGAGCGGUGCCAGCUCCUCCGCCCACCAGGGCUCCUAUGCUCUGCCAGGAGCAAGAGGUGUGUCAGCAAGAAGGCCUGCCAGCAGCCUGCCUGCUCCUCACUCCUAGCUGCGGGACCGCAGGGCACCGAGCUCAACCAGAGCAUUAUUUCCACUCGUGUGCCUGGUGCUGCACAGCUGAGCCACGCGCAGCACGGCACUGAAUAUUUUCAAGUAUUGCAGCUUGUGACUUGCAGUGCUUCACAAUGAUUCCAGUUCAAGGGCAAAUUCAGAUUGCGUCACUCACGUGCUAUAAAUGGAGAGUGCGAACAGCACAGCGUGAGCCCCUAGGAACGUGCUGUCCUAACUCGCUUUGUUCUGCAUUUAAGAUCCUUCACCGAGAGCACAAAAAGCACAGCAAAAAUCUGUUUCCAAAUAAACCUCUUGAAUAAAGCAUUUCAAAAG